rnacentral:rRNA from 1 species
UACGUAGGGGGCGAGCGUUGUCCGGAUUCAUUGGGCGUAAAGCGCGCGUAGGCGGCCCCGCAAGUCGGCCGUGAAAUCUCCGGGCUCAACUCGGAGGGGUCGGGCGAGACUGCGAGGCUCGAGGUGGGCAGAGGGCAGUGGAAUUCCGGGUGUAGUGGUGGAAUGCGUAGAGAUCCGGAGGAACACCAGUGGCGAAGGCGGCUGCCUGGGCCUGGCCUGACGCUGAGGCGCGAAAGCGUGGGGAGCAAUCCGG